UUGCUGAUCACACGGUCUAGCACCGGUGACAUAUCUUUCAAGUGUCUGCCCUAUCAACUUUCGAUGGUAGUUUAUGUGCCUACCAUGGUUGUAACGGGUAACGGAGAAUAAGGGUUCGACUCCGGAGAGGGAGCCUGAGAAAUGGCUACCACAUCCAAGGAAGGCAGCAGGCGCGCAAAUUACCCAAUCUCAGUUCGAGGAGGUAGUGACGAAAAAUAACGAGACGGUUCUCUAUGAGGCCCGUCAUCGGAAUGGGUACAAUUUAAACCCUUUAACGAGGAUCUAUUGGAGGGCAAGUCUGGUGCCAGCAGCCGCGGUAAUUCCAGCUCCAAUAGCAUAUGCCAAUUCUGUUGCUGUUAAAAAGCUCGUAGUUGAAUCUUUUCCAAGGAGCUAGUCUGCCUAAAGGGUACGUACUGGUUUCCGAGGAUUUUUCAGCUGGUUUUCCCGUGGUGCUCUUCACCGGGUGUCACGGGUGGCUAGCACGUUUACUUUGAAAAAAUUAGAGUGCUCAAAACAGGCGUUACUGCCCGAAUAGUGGUGCAUGGAAUAAUGGAAUAGGAUCUCGGUUCUAUUUUGUUGGUUUUAGGAGCGCGAGAUAAUGAUUAAGAGGGACGGACGGGGGCAUUCGUAUUGCGGCGUUAGAGGUGAAAUUCUUGGAUCGCCGCAAGACGAACAACUGCGAAAGCAUU
rnacentral:rRNA from 1 species